rnacentral:rRNA from 1 species
AUGAGCAUCUUUAUCAGGAAACUGCGCCCCUCCCUGUCCGGGCUACUCCGGUCCAAGCCGGCCGUCCCAACGCCUGUUCCACCGUCACCAACCGCCCGGCGCUACUACCAUGCGCCAUGCACGCGGCGAUCUCACGAUGCCCUGCAAUCAUCUGGCCGAGGCGUACUCUUCCGCCCCAACCCUGUCCUCGGCCGUCGACCACCGCCGUCACAGCUAGCGAUCCCGCGGUACUACUCCUAUAGGCGAAAAAGGAGUUCUGCCGACGAGGCCGUGAGAACAGUCAUGGCAGUAGUCAUGCUCGUCGGAGGGGUGGUCAUCACGAUCCGCCACGGCACCAUCGAGACCGUGCCCUACACCAACCGCCACCACUUGCUCAUCAUCUCGUCCGAGGAAGAGCGCAACCUCGGCGAGUCGCAGUUUGCCAGCCUCAAGAAGGAGCUGGGCAAGAAAGUCCUCCCCACGUCCCACCCGGAUACCGUCCGCGUCACCGGCAUCUCCACCAAGAUAAUCGACGCUGCCCGCCGCGGCCUCGCCAGCGAUGACAAUGGUAAGCUACUUGACGAAGCAAUUUGGAGCUCCAAUGCAGCGCAGAAGAAGAAGCCAAGGAAGGUUUGGGGAGGGCAGCCGAUGACGAAGCAUCUCGACGAGCUCAAGUGGGAGGUAAUCGUCGUCGACGAUAAGCUGGUGAAUGCAAUGUGCUUGCCCGGUGGCAAGAUCGUAGUCUACACCGGGUUGCUCCACCACUUCAACACUGAUGCUGAGAUUGCCACGGUGCUAGGGCACGAGAUUGCACACGUUAUUGCAAGGCACAUUGCCGAGACGUUCACCAAGAACAUGUGGACUGCCAUUCUGCAGGCGUUAAUGACUAUCGACACUGAUGACUCAAAGAUGGUCAAUGAUCUGACCGAAUACCUACUCACUUUGCCCUUCUCACGAAAGAUGGAGAUAGAGGCAGAUCACAUCGGAAUCCUGCUGCUCGCAGCUGCUGGUUUCGAUCCACGCGUAGCGCCUGGCUUCUACGAGAAGCUAGGAAAGAUCAGUGGGAACACAUCGGCAUUGGAACAGUACAAAAAUACUCAUCCUUCCAGCGAGAAAAGAUCGCGGCUUUUAGCGGAGCCCAAGGUCAUGGAGAAGGCGAUGGCAUUGUACAGAGAAGCAAGAGCAAGAAAUGGAGAAAGUGAAUGA